GAUCAGCCCGUUGUUCAGGAACAGCAGCCUUGGUUCCCGAUAUGCAGGUUGCAAGGUCACCUCGCUAAGGUCUGUGAAGAAUGGCGCCAAGACAGGGGUGGACUUUCUCUGCACCUACCGCCAGCCCUCCAGGGGCCCAGGUCUGCCUGCCAAGCAGCUGUUCCAUGAGCUGAGCAGGCAAACCCUCGGCAUCACGAAGCUGGGCUCCUACUUUCUGGAUAAGGACAGCCUCUACCUCAAUGGUUAUAAUGAACGUGGUCCAGAUGAGCCUCCUACAA